GGCUCUGUGAGACAGGCCCUCCACUGUGCUGUAGAUCCUGUUGUAAGUGAUGCAGAAGCCAGAGAGAAGGUUGCUCUCCAUCAGAAACAUGAGGAGUUUCGGAGACGUCCCUAAAAUAUUUGACCUGAAAGGGUUUGAAGCCAGGAGGAGAGAUGCAGUCUUAGGAGAAACGUUUCAUGAGCUGUAACAGGUACCCUAUCAGUCUUUCUCA
rnacentral:lncRNA from 1 species